CUCUUCAAGUAUAAAGACAGAGUCAUGUUCAUCAUAUCAUAAUUUCAAAGCUUUCAACAUAGAUUUCAAACAAAUGCUUUCAAACUCUAAAUGCAAGUGUUCAUGUCAAACGCUCACAUGAUACCAAACAGACUAGACCUUAUACGGGAAAGAUAAAACCCGAGGAUUUGGGUAGAAAAGUUUUGAGCGGGAAAUACAAAUAUAAGAUUUUUUGAAGGAAAGGAAAAAUAAAAUAAAAUAUAAUCUUGCUGGUAAAUACAAAUAAAAGAUUUUCAGGCGAAACAAAUUUAUAGGGUCGGUUGGUAUGGGGCAAAUAAACAAUAUUUUAAUUUAAGCCUUACUGGUCAUUUCAUCAGUACAGUGUUCAUGGUCGGUCCCGUUAACCAAACUCUGAAUCGUCCGCAGGACGUCAAAGGUAAUGCUUGGAGUAAGCCCCC
rnacentral:lncRNA from 1 species